UACGGAGGGUGCAAGCGUUAUCCGGAUUCACUGGGUUUAAAGGGUGCGUAGGCGGGGAUAUAAGUCAGUGGUGAAAGCUCCGAGCUUAACUUGGAAACUGCCAUUGAUACUGUAUAUCUUGAAUAUCGUAGAGGUUAGCGGAAUGUUGCAUGUAGCGGUGAAAUGCUUAGAUAUGUUACAGAACACCAAUUGCGAAGGCAGCUAACUAUGCGAUGAUUGACGCUGAGGCACGAAAGCGUGGGGAGCAAACAGG
rnacentral:rRNA from 1 species